UUAUUGCUGAAACUUGUUUAUUCCGGUGUUCUCUCUAGGUCAGCUCGAAACUGCAGGAUUUUAAAUCAGUGGUGCCACCGCUUACAUCAGAACUUGCUGUGGUGGAUAAGGUUUGCCUUUUACUUAGAACACCUCACUUCAUUGUUUUAAAUGAAUGGGAGAGCUUUUCCCCAUGGUUACGUAUUCAUAUGUAAAUACCUACUGCACACCUAGAGUGCAGCAGCAAACUGACUGUUGAAAGAUUUAUAGAUGCCUGCCUGAUUCCUUGUCGCAGAAGAAAAACCUCGGUUGGACUCUUCUUAGUCAAACAAUCCUGUAACACGGACUGCGCACAGACAGUCUCCGGCAGACUCAAAUCUCCACGAGAAGAACAGUUCAACUAACAUGAAGUCCAACCACUGAGCCAACAGACACAAAUGCCUGGAAGACUGACUUCCAGUCAUUUUCGGGGGUGAUUGUUCCACGUUCUUGAAAACCUGCACUGAUGUAACUGACAAGGACUCGUACAGCGAAACACCAGUGGGAAUCUAGAAAAUCCUCAGGUCAACCCAUCCAGACUGGUAAUCAUCUUGGAGGGGAGUGUGGUGGUGGAUGAAUUGGCCAAUAUGCCUCACAUUUUCUAUCUUUGGACUGGUCAACACGCUCCACCUUAACUACCCUAAAAACAUGAAAAACAUUUUUACCUUUGUUCAGCAGCAGCUGUAAUGCUGAAACUGGGUAGAAGUGAGCAUUCACCUAAAAUUCACUGAAAAAUCAACCCAUGGCAAGUUCUUAAAUCUAAUUUCUUAGUUUGUGAUGUUAUACUCUUUGGUACUAUAUACAUAGUAUGGCCUAGUUACAGUAUGUCUGGUUGGGAGUUGAAUUACAUUGGGGGCUUCUGUGUAUUAUAUUCAUGUAGCCGAUGCAUGGGAAAUCGUGUCUUUUAUACCUUUAUUACUUUUGGUUAGGCAAGAUUACACAAAACAGUCUGGUAAAUACUGAUUUUGAAUUUUAAAUAAAAGUAGAACAAGAA